GAUGAACGCUAGCGGCAGGCCUAACACAUGCAAGUCGAGGGAGAAGACCUUUCGGGGGCAGAAACCGGCGCACGGGUGCGUAACGCGUAUGCAACCUACCUUUCACAUGGGGAUAGCCCGAAGAAAUUUGGAUUAAUAUUCCAUAAUAAUGUUGGAUGGCAUCAUUUGGCAAUCAAAACUGCGUCGGUGAAAGAUGGGCAUGCGUUCUAUUAGCUAGUUGGACUGGUAACGGCACUCCAAGGCUACGAUAGGUAGGGGUCCUGAGAGGGAGAUCCCCCACACUGGUACUGAGACAGAGACCAGACUCCGACGGGAGGCAGCAGUGAGGAAUAUUAGUCAAUGGUCGGAAGACUGAACCAGCCAUGCCGCGUGCAGGAAGAAUGGCUUAUGAGUUGUAAACUGCUUUUAUAUGGGAAGAAUAAGGCGUACGUGUACGUUGAUGACGGUACCAAAUGAAUAAGCAUCGGCUAACUCCGUG
rnacentral:rRNA from 1 species